AGAGCAAGUCGGUCCCGACCUUCUUCGUCGCCUUCGCCCGCCGAAGAGCAACUGGCUCUCGAGCUCCGACCUCCGUCGUCGCCUCCGCCCGCCGAAGAGCAGCUGGGUCUCGAGCUCCGACCUCCGCCGUCGCCUCCGCCCCCGCCUGCCGGUCCCGACCUCCGCCGUCGCAGCUGCGUCCCGAGCUCUGACCGCCAUCGCCUCCGACCUCCGCCCGCCCAAGAGCAAGCCAGUCCCGACCUCCGUCGUCGCCUCCACCCGCCGAAGAGCAGCUGGGUCUCGAGCUCCGACCUCCGCCGUCGCCUCCGCCCCCGCCCGCCGGUCCCGACCUCUGCCGUCGCAGCUGCGUCUCGAGCUCUGAUCACCGUCGCCUCUGCCCGCCCAAGAGUAGCUGGUCCCAAGCUCGUUCGCAAUCUCCACCACCACCACCAGUCAAACUCACUCUCUCCCUCGCUGAAGUUCCUUCUCGAAUGCACGAUGAAGCAGCUCGUUUCACCUCUGGAAUUCGUGCUCCGAGCUUCAGAUUGUGGAUUGCUGUAUCCGUUUCUUCCAUGGUGGUGCUGAUCUAGGUCCUCUUUCGCUGCUGCAUCGGACCUCGGGAAUGGAGGUGGUGCUUCACUAGGGAAUCGGAGGAGGAAUACUUGGUUGUGCUAAGUCGGUCCUGUGCAAGGAACUAUCGAGUGCCCCAAGUUCCAUCCCUCUCCGAUUUGCUCGCGAAAUGGACGGUGAUCGGGAAGCUUCCUUACUGCAUCAAAACCUCAAUCGCAAGCUUUUGGGAUGGCUGGUUGUACUUUACAUCGGGGUAGCGGGAUCGAGGGCAAGAUAAUCCACAACCUAAGAUGGUCAGUGGAGGACCAAAUUGAGACUGUGAUGCGAGUUGCGUGAAGUUGACCCUUUGAAGCAUUGUCUUAGCUUAGAUUUUUUUUCUUCUUUUUCACACGCAUUUUCUCUAGGCCAGUUAUUUAUAGCAUUUGUCCGACUCCAUGUCGUUCUGUUGAGCCGAUGCCGAUAAUUUUGGAGUUGAAUAGAGAAUAGCUAAUGCCGAGACUGUAGUUACUGGGAAAUUCUAUUGGCUGGUCAAUAUAAGCCGCAUAUGUAAUAUGCUUCUUGCAGUCGGUUCUUAGAGCAGAUGGCUGAAAUACUCACUACUUGACUCUUUCUUUGGUAGUGAGAUUGGCUAAGCCAGCUGUCGAUAAUGUCCUAUCUAAGCAGGCACCUCUAAGCAGGUUUAGCUUUCUUUAAAAAUACUUGCGAAGGAGGCACCUCUGAGCAGGUUUCAGAUGCGGAAAAAGUUUCAUCCUAUCAUCUAGUGGGUGUGCGAGGGUAGGGAGUGUUCAGAGCAGAAUGUUGGUCCAAGUCGCUAAUCUUCGGCUCGUGCCCUUGUGCGUCAACCAAUCAUGAGCCAUGGCGAGUAUGCGCAAUGUUGUGUACCUCGUACUGUAUGAGAUAAUUAUACAGCUCAUGAGCAGGUUGAUAAUCUGGCUGGAUGACUAACUUUUGCAUCCUCAAAGUUAGAUUUGUCUCGCCGAAUUCACUGAACACUAUGGUUCAUGGACUGGGUUCAAAAUUUUGAGGUUGCCUUUGAUCUGGAGCAAUUGCAUCACCAUGCUCCAACUGAUCCUCUGCAGGAAGGUGUGAACAUUCUCUAAUUUAUUUAGUCAGUUUUUUCUUGUACAA